AACCCUAAAAGUUUCUCCUCAUAUUUUUGGCUAGGAGUCGGCAACCAUCCAACCUUCCAUUUUUCUUUCUCCUCCAUAUCCAAAAAACCAUCGGGAAUCUAUGGCCUCUUCUUCACUGAAACAGCUAGCCGACCAAACGACCAGCAACAAAAUAGAUCCAAAAACGACCUUCAAAAUGCAGCUGGAACAGCCACUCAAAUAGGCAACUACCUAACCCCAACUCGCCUGAAAUCACCAUUGGUCCUGCCAUCUUCUUCCCCA
rnacentral:misc_RNA from 1 species